GACGAACGCUGGCGGCGUGCUUAACACAUGCAAGUCGAACGGAAAGGCCCUGCUUUUGUGGGGUGCUCGAGUGGCGAACGGGUGAGUAACACGUGAGUAACCUGCCCUUGACUUUGGGAUAACUUCUGGAAACUGGGGCUAAUACCCGAUAGGAGCUCCUGCUGCAUGGUGGGGGUUGGAAAGUUUCGGCGGUUGUGGAUGGACUCGCGGCUUAUCAGCUUGUUUGUGGGGUAGUGGCUUACCAAGGCUUUGACGGGUAGCCGGCCUGUGCGGGUGACCGGCCACAUUGGUACUGAGGUAGGGACCAGACUCCUACGGGAGGCAGCAGUGGGGAAUAUUGCACAAUGGGCGGAAGCCUGAGGCAGCAACGCCGCGUGCGGGAUGACGGCCUUCGGGUUGUAAACCGCUUUCGACUGUGACGAAGAGUGAGUGACGGUAAUGGGUAAAGAAGCACCGGCUAACUACGUG
rnacentral:rRNA from 1 species